UACGGGGGGCAAGCGUUGUUCGGAAUUACUGGGCGUAAAGGGCGCGUAGGCGGCCUGCUAAGUCGGACGUGAAUCCCCGGCUCAACCGGGGAACUGCGUCCGAUACUGGUGGGCUCGAAUCCGGGAGAGGGAUGGUGGAAUUCCAGGUGUAGGCGGUGGAAUGCGCAGAGUAUCAGGAGGAACACCGGUGGCGAAGGCGGGAUCUCUGGGCCGAUGACUGACGUGGAGGAGCGAAGCGUGGGAGC
rnacentral:rRNA from 1 species